CCAAAGAGUGCUAUUCCAAUUAAUGUUCAUUCUGCAAGGCCACUCUUGUUCCCUCCAGUGCUCCUUUUGUUGGGCUUCUCUUCCAGGAAGGCUGCAGGCUUUUUCUGUCACUUGCCCAAGUCCUCUUUAACAUUGAUUCCCUUUCCUUUGUGUUUUUUUAGCACAGAAAUGAAAGUACUGGACUUCUGUGCACUGUAAGCUUUGGCUAGGAUAAUCAUGUUAUUUGGGUGAUUCUGGGAAUCACAGGUUGUCAUUGUCCCUGGCACUAAGAGCAGAAAGGCAAAUAUGGUGCCAGUGACUCAGACCUGCAUUGCUGGUACCUCACUGGGGAGAUGCAGUGCAGGAAGGGACCUGCCAUCCUCAGCCCCUGCUUGGUACCUGUAAGCACUGAGUUUUCUGUCACCCUGCCCUUUUCCCUGUGGGUUGCCUGGUCCUUCUCUCCUAGCAAACACAGAGAAUCAACAUCGUUGAUUCAGCUGGACUUUGAAUUCUGGGUUACAGGGCCAUAUUCUUGUCUUUUGUGUUACAAUGUUGUCCCUGAAGAAAUUCGAUUGCAUUUUACUUUGGACUCUGUGAAACUGACAACUGCUGAUGCUCCAGCAUGAAGAUCAAGGUACCAACGAUCCUCAGAAGAAGACACAUUUCCCAGGGCACUGGAGAUUACACAUCUAGCAGAACUGAAAUCAAAGGCAUGGUAAAUGAUAAUAUCUAGAAUCUUUCUCAGAUCCUGCAAAACACAAUGGAACCAAUCAACAAAGGGAGACUGGAUUUUUUCUUUUCCUUUUGCUUCAUUUCAGUGCAUAAAUGGAAUUCUAGUUCUGUGUUUUUGCUCAAAAUAUGGAAAAGCCAAUAAAAUCUUCUAGAAAUAUUAUUUUUUCA
rnacentral:lncRNA from 1 species